CCUCUUCUCCAGAACCGACUGCUCCUCUGCGCGCCCUGGAGAGGCUCCUUCUGCACGACUUGCACAAGAGCUUAUCAUUUUGCGCUACAAUUGCAAGGUUUCCCAUAAGCAAAGACUUUACGAAGGGCGCAAUGCACUCUCGCCUUUAAGCACGCAGAAAGCCAUGCAUGCAAGCAGUGUGUCAACAGAAAGUCACCAUUAAUGUACAUCAGGCCUGCAUCAGCCUCACCUUGCUCUUCAGAAGCAGGCACGCCGGCGACAGUGGACCUGAACAUGGCCACGCUUUCGCUCAGCUGCUCGUAGGUGGACGCAAUCUCCAGCGCAACUGACAGGGCCUCCAUGCUGCUCUCCUCCCCAUCACCAGCUGCACAACACACCGUCACUCGUUUAAAAAUGGCCCGGGGAGGCUGCACAAAGCCUGUUUGCACUGCAGUACGGUCUCCCAGAAUGCCAACCUUGUUGGUACAUCUGACAUCAGUUAGUCCAGCUGCCAUGUGCUGUCACAAUCCCACCCUGCCAAUGCCGCUACUGUUUGCACUGCAGACUAAUCUCCUUUGGCAGGAGGCUGCUCGGUAGCCUUACAAUGCCUUGAUAAAAUGAGAAUUAAACAUGCAUGCUUAGGAAACUUCAGGUCAAUGCUGAUUGCUGGCAUGCGUAACUGGCAAGGCCAGCUCUGCUAAAACAAUUGAGCACCAACAGGGACCCACCGAGGUCCUGGGCGCUGCGUUUGAAGAUGGUGCACUGGGUGUUGAGUGUGGUGAGUGCGUCCAUGGGGCUCGGUGCCGCGGCUGAGGAAGAUGGCGCGGCGGCCGCGCCACCCCGUUGCCAGCCGAAUG
rnacentral:lncRNA from 1 species